rnacentral:rRNA from 1 species
AAGUCGUAACAAGGUUUCCGUAGGUGAACCUGCGGAAGGAUCAUUAAAAGUAAAUGCGUAUACAUAUCAUGUAUCAACUGCAUAAACCCACUCCGAGUAUCUUGCCUGUUGCUUCCAUGGGGCGUGACAUUCGUCCCUCUCGUGAUCUUGAAUCCCAGGAGAGUCCCCAUGGGAGGUAAUCAUUAAAUCCAUGCUUCAAAUGUCUUCUGUCUGAACUGUUUAUAAUCAAUGCUAAAACUUUCAACAACGGAUCUCUUGGUUCUCGCAUCGAUGAAGAACGCAGCGAAAUGCGAUAAGUAGUGUGAAUUGCAGAAUUCAGUGAAUCAUCGAAUCUUUGAACGCACAUUGCGCCUCCUGGUAUUCCGGGAGGCAUGCCUGUUCGAGCGUCAUUAAAUACCUCUCAAGCAAAUUUGCUUGGUCGUGGAAGAUGAGUAUGCUUGCAUUCUCACUUCUGAAAUUCAAAGGCGGAUGAUCUCAUAUCCCCAGGUGUAGUAAGUUAAUCUUUUCGCUUGGUGCAUGCGAUUGUCCUGCCGUUGACCCCCAUGUUUUCAAGGUUGACCUCGGAUCAGGUAGGGAUACCCGCUGAACUUAA